rnacentral:rRNA from 1 species
GAUGAACGCUGGCGGCGUGCUUAACACAUGCAAGUCGAACGAGAAAUGGAGACGGAAACCUUCGGGCGGAAGGCUUCAUUUCGAGUGGCGGACGGGUGAGUAACGCGUGGGUAACCUGCCUCAUACAGGGGGAUAACAGUUGGAAACGACUGUUAAUACCGCAUAAGACCACAGCACCGCAUGGUGCGGGGGUAAAAACUCCGGUGGUAUGAGAUGGACCCGCAUUUGAUUAGCCAGUUGGCGGGGUAACGGCCCACCGCAGCGACGAUCGAUAGCCGAGCUGAGAGGAUGACCCGCCACAUUGGGACUGGGACACAGCCCGAACUCCUACGGGAGGCAGCAGUGGGGAAUAUUGCACAAUGGGGGAAACCCUGAUGCAGCGACGCCGCGUGAGUGAAGAAGUACUUCGGUAUGUAAAGCUCUAUCAGCAGGGAAGAAAAUGACGGUACCUGAGGAAGAAGCCCCGGCUAACUACGUG